rnacentral:lncRNA from 1 species
AGAGGAGCCGGCUCCUGUGGAGUGAAAACCACGUCUGCUCUGUGCCGAUCAGGCUGCUGGCUGGAGGGAAUGGGCAUGCAGGGGUGACCGCCAAACCCACACUCACCGGGCCCACACUAGUGGCUCACGCCUUUACGGGAAGCCUUCCCUCAAGAACACAGGAGCCUCACCUCUCAGGACCUGCUCGCCUCCCUCUUAGAACUAAGUCGUGACAUAAUGUGUUGGGGACAUGGUGGCCCAGUGCAGGGCAGAGCAGACUCAGGCCCCAGCACCUUGUCCCAGGCAGGCGAGGGGAGAUCAUGGACCCUGGAGCCUUUCCCGAGGUCUGAGGCUCCGUCCCAGAAGGUGCUGCGUUCACCGGCCUGGGGAGGCACUCUUGAAAAAAGGCAGACUGUCACAAUGGCCACGGCCACAGCAGAAGGCUGGGGUGGGCUCCACAUGUGGCCUGGAGGACACACCACGCAGCCAGGCCGCCAGGAGCACACUAGGAGAGGCACCAGUGUCGUGAGGAGGAUCAGGAAGGAGAACCAAAACCGUGUACCAUCACUUGCAGAGAACACGUGGUCCUCCCCAUGUGACGGUUACUCUGCUGCCCCGGGUCACCUGGACCAGCCCCACGUCCACAGAACAGCACAGCUGUCCCCCAUAUUAACCACCCUGUGUGAAUUGGACCUGCCGAUGGAGAAGCGGCGAGUACCCUGGGGCCUUCGUAGGACACGCGGGCUCCAGGGAGAAAUCCGGGGGUCCCAGGCACACGGGAGCCCCUCCCACAGAGGAUGGGGGCCGCACGGGCUCGCCACCACGAAGGAGCGCGGCAGCGGGGCUUCUGGGCGCUGGAGCGGUGCAAUCCUGGGACUCCGGCUCCAGGAUGUCCUGCGGCCGCUGAAGGCCAGCGGCUGCACGGGGCUAGCAGGGAUGGCCCCAGGUCCCUGCUGCUACACUUGAGCGGACUCCAGGGGGCUGGGGAGAAGUAGGCUUUGCAGCAAGUGUGGGCGGAGGAAGCCGCCCAGGGUCCCCGGGUCCAGGGCAGGCUGUGUGGUGUGUGGGAGAACAGGUGCGGCUCUGGUCCUGAGAAAGAGGGCCUGCCUGCCCGCGGGGCCAUGGCCGGCUGCCUGCGCUGGCUUUCUCAGAGCUGCCCUGUCGUGCGGUUGGGAUGAGACAGGAACAAGGCCAGAGGUCAGUGGCACCUGCACACACAGGUGGUCCAGACCACCAGAGCUUCGCCUGUGCGACCCCCUCACACCCGUGGCCUCCCAGGGGUUCCUGUGGCCAGCUGAGGGGGGAGGGGCUCAGUCGUGGGUCAGGGCUGGUCGGCACAGUGUGUGGACACAGGUGGACCAGGACGGUGGUGGAGAGCGGCCCUGUCGGGUUGUAGGGCUUUGGGCAGUGGGCCUGGCUGGCCGGUCAGGGGGGGUGGGAGGAGGGAAAGGGCCAUUUCAGGGACAUGGAGUGGAGUCUAGGGAGAGGCAUACAGGGCACCAUGGGGUGGACACAGGGGCGCACAUUUUAAAGCCCACAUCGACACCCACCGGAACAUGCCCGCCACGCCACAGGCAGACAGAAGCUCUCGGCUGAGUGACAGUGGCCGGCAGGUCAUCGGCCCCGGGUGGCACAGCUGCACACACACGGAAUGGCCAGGACAGUGGAGAUGAAGGCUGCUGGCUUGUCGAUCCCAAGGGUGACCCAGGACAGCCCAGCCCCAGGCAGCGACUCUCACAGGGACGGAACCGGCUCACGGCGCCUGCUGCCCAAGGGCCGGAGCCCG